rnacentral:rRNA from 1 species
GACGUAGGGGGCCAGCGUUGUUCGGAAUUACUGGGUGUAAAGGGUUCGUAGGCGGUGCGGCAAGUUGGGAGUGAAAUCUCUGGGCUUAACCCAGAGGCUGCUUCCAAAACUGCUGUGCUUGAGUGUGGGAGAGGCGCGUGGAAUUGCAGGUGUAGCGGUGAGAUGCGUAGAUAUCUGCAGGAACACCCGUGGCGAAAGCGGCGCGCUGGACCACUACUGACGCUGAGGAACGAAAGCUAGGGGAGCAAACAGG